rnacentral:tRNA from 1 species
GUGAGUAUAGCUUAGCAGUAGAGCAUCAGCUUAGCAAGUACAAGGUCCUGAGUUCAAAUCCCAGUACUGUCA